rnacentral:tRNA from 1 species
GUUGCCGUAGGCGAGUGGUUAAGGCGAGAGACUUUUGGGAUCUUUCCGCACAGGUUCGAAUCCUGCCGACAACG